GGACCCCUGAUCAAGGAGAUCACGGAUACUUCCGAAACAAAUUAGAAUACACCGUAAAGAGUACUCUUCAGCAACAGUGUCAAUGUGUGGCUCACUGGAAAAGAAAAAUGGUUUCAUAUCUGUAAAAUGGGGAUGACAGUACCAACCUCACUCCAUUUGUGGGGAAGAUUGAGUUCAUGGAAUGAAAUCUCUUGGGAAGUUCAUUUCGUAUUUACAUGUUUCCACAUCCAUCUCCCUCAUUGGACUUGAGCUCAUCUGGGGCAGAACCGAGUCUCACCCAGCUUGGAUUCGUCA